AGAGAUCUCAUCUAUCUCCUCUUAUAUAUAAUAUGCCCCUGCAAGUCCAAAACAACCUCCUCAGCCUCUUCAACAACCCCAUGUUAGUGGUGUUCUUCCUAUAAAACUUGAAGAAUCCAAUCCCAUACUAGCUCAAUCAAUCAAUCAAUCCUUAGGUGAUCCUAGCUCUAUCUAUCUAUCUAUAAGGCAGGAGUUAUAAAGAUGAGUGGAAGGAACGGACAGAAACUUGACCUGAAGCUGAACUUGUCGCCACCAAGGCGGGUGGAGUCCCCGACCAGAUCACUGACCGUGUCUCCGCCGAGCUCAUGUGUGUCUUCCGAGCUGAACGAGACGCUGCAGUACUCCACCAGCCCGGAGGCCACUUCGAUGAUGCUGGUGGGCUGCCCUAGGUGCCUCAUGUACGUGAUGCUAUCGGAGGAGGACCCCAGAUGCCCCAAAUGCAAGAGCACUGUUUUGCUUGAUGUCAUCCACGACACCGCUGCCAGGAAGACAAAGAAGACAUGCUAGUAGCUCUUACCACCAAAAAUAUUGAUGAAAUGAAAACAAAUAUCCAUACACCCCAAAUAUGAUAACCAAAUAGGCAGCAGCAAUUUCUAGAUUCAUGUUCCUGCUCCAGUUGUAGGUGGAGGUAAUUUCAAAGGAGCAUGAGCCUUACUACUGCUAUUUCCCUUGUUUAUUUAAGUCCGUUUCUCACCUUAAUUAUAGCGGCAGCGAUGUUGGUGGGUGAGAUUUGUUCCAUCUUUAGCAGAAGAAACCUAUCUUCAUGUUCCUGAUUUUCUUAUAAAAAUGUUAGGUAAUUUUUCAGCAUGCA